rnacentral:rRNA from 1 species
UACGAAGGGGGCUAGCGUUGCUCGGAAUUACUGGGCGUAAAGGGCGCGUAGGCGGGAUGGCAAGUCGGUCGUGAAAUCCCUCGGCUCAACCGAGGAACGUCGAUCGAUACUGCUGUUCUUGAGGAUUGCAGAGGAGACUGGAAUUCCCGGUGUAGCGGUGAAAUGUGUAGAGAUCGGGAGGAACACCGGUGGCGAAGGCGGGUCUCUGGGCAAUUCCUGACGCUGAGGCGCGAAAAGCGUGGGGGAGCAAACGGGG